CAGCACUCCGGGCAUCGUGUUGGUUGGUGACAGUAAGGACACCCUGUCUUACAGCAAGCAGAGCCUAACUGAGGAACUCGUGAUGUGAGCCCUAGGCAGGAGCUGGACGUGGGCAGCAGCAGCAGGAGCAGCCUGGUGUGGAGCUUCCUGGAGAACACCCACAGUUUUACAAAGCAAUAGCACACCUCAGAAGAGAUGCUUGAUAUAGCAACAGAAGACUUUAAAGCCAUGGGAAUAACCUUUGGCUUGAAUUUAAAUGCAUAUCUCCAGGGACUUUAAACUCAAAUCAGACUGCUUUCUACCCAACAGAUUUUGCAGAAGAGGAGGGCUCUGAGAACACAGGCAAGUCAUCGCAACCGGAUGUGGCAUGACAGUUUUGUUGGCUGUGAGCACGCUGAGGAGCUGUAACAAGGAUUGUACAUCUCUGUAUAACGUAGAUCUGUGUACAGUCCUGGCUCUGGCCUGUGUGUGCACACACAGCAUCUUCUCUGUGCAGGCCACCCCAAUUCACCUGGUGCAGCUUUUCUCCUACAAAAGAGGUUUCUGGGACCAUGACUGUUCAUAACCAUCAUUAAACAUUAAGGAAUGAUA